CCAUGCUGUAAACGGUGGAUACUAGGUGUGGGGCCUUUUCCAUGGGUUCUGCGCCGGAGCUAACGUGUUAAGUAUCCCGCCUGGGGAGUACGGCCGCAAGGCUAAAACUCAAAGGAAUUGACGGGGGCCCGCACAAGCGGCGGAGCAUGCGGAUUAAUUCGAUGCAACGCGAAGAACCUUACCAAGGCUUGACAUGCACCGCGAUGGUCUAGAGAUAGGUCAGCUUUUUUGGUGGUGUGCAGGUGGUGCAUGGUUGU
rnacentral:rRNA from 1 species